CUGCCAGUGAUAAACUGGAGGAAGGUGGGGAUGACGUCAAGUCAUCAUGGCCCUUACGACCAGGGCUACACACGUGCUACAAUGGCGCAUACAAAGAGAAGCGACCUCGCGAGAGCAAGCGGACCUCAUAAAGUGCGUCGUAGUCCGGAUUGGAGUCUGCAACUCGACUCCAUGAAGUCGGAAUCGCUAGUAAUCGUGGAUCAGAAUGCCACGGUGAAUACGUUCCCGGGCCUUGUACACACCGCCCGUCACACCAUGGGAGUG
rnacentral:rRNA from 1 species